AUUAUUAUAAUUAUUAUUAUUAUUCUGUGUUCUCUCGACACCCUAGGAUUGAAAAAAAACCGACAAACCACCUGAUAUGCAAAUAAAUUGGAGUAAAAACGUGAAAACAAACAAACGAGGAGAAUAUUUGCAAAUAUGAGUAUAAAAAGCACAACGAGAUGCAGUAAAACAAUGACAAGGCUUGAUUUUUUUUAUUCUGUAGAGAAAUGUUUGUGCAAAUUCAGUAAUUCAACUGAAGAGAUAAUUUUACAGCUGUUCAAUAAAGCCUCUUUCCAGGUAAGGUUAUGACAAGUGGUGUGUGUGUUUGUUGAGCAGUGAGCCCCGAAAUGGCCUGGCCUGGGCUGUGCCUUCGUAAACUGGUGGUGUCUGGACGUGUAAUGGUCCAUACUGGUGAUGCUGGGGGGGGCUGCAGCUUUCCCAGGAUAUUGGCUCCCUGGUUUGUAGGCACUUUGUGGCGUCUGGAAGAUGGUGGGAGCUCUGGUUUGGAUGGACUGUGGGGUCUGGAAAACAAUGGGAGCUCUGAGUCUGGAUGGACUGUGGGGACUGGAAAACAAAGGGA